UACGAAGGGGGCUAGCGUUGCUCGGAAUCACUGGGCGUAAAGCGCACGUAGGCGGCUUUUUAAGUCAGGGGUGAAAUCCUGGAGCUCAGCUCCAGAACUGCCUUUGAUACUGAGAAGCUUGAGUCCGGGAGAGGUGAGUGGAACUGCGAGUGUAGAGGUGAAAUUCGUAGAUAUUCGCAAGAACACCAGUGGCGAAGGCGGCUCACUGGCCCGGUACUGACGCUGAGGUGCGAAAGCGUGGGGAGCAAACGGG
rnacentral:rRNA from 1 species